GCAGUGGUGGUUCAGCAGUAGGAUUCUCGCCCUCUGGGCGGGAGUCUCGGUUCAAUUCCCAGCCAGUGCA
rnacentral:tRNA from 1 species